rnacentral:lncRNA from 1 species
GGGGGGCAGCGCGGGGCACCAAGUGGCGCUCCGGCGGCGGACUAAGUGCGCGAGGAAAGGACAGCCCGCAUCGGCCUCGCUGGCGCACAAUGAGAGAGCGACGACCCGCGCACUAAAAGCACUCGCCGCGACCCCCGAACAGCGAGCGCAGAGGGGCACAGAAAGUUGCGCUCGGAGACUCUCGGCUCGCCGGGGAAGGCGCAGGGCAGCGCCCGGAGAAGGGGCGCCCGAGGAGCGCCCGCCAGCAGCAGCGCGGCGCCGGG